rnacentral:rRNA from 1 species
UGGGGAAUUUUGGACAAUGGGGGCAACCCUGAUCCAGCAAUGCCGCGUGAGUGAAGAAGGUUUUCGGAUCGUAAAGCUCUGUUGUAAGAGAAGAACGGGUGUGAGAGUGGAAAGUUCACACUGUGACGGUAUCUUACCAGAAAGGGACGGCUAACUACGUGCCAGCAGCCGCGGUAAUACGUAGGUCCCGAGCGUUGUCCGGAUUUAUUGGGCGUAAAGCGAGCGCAGGCGGUUAGAUAAGUCUGAAGUUAAAGGCUGUGGCUUAACCAUAGUAUGCUUUGGAAACUGUUUAACUUGAGUGCAGAAGGGGAGAGUGGAAUUCCAUGUGUAGCGGUGAAAUGCGUAGAUAUAUGGAGGAACACCGGUGGCGAAAGCGGCUCUCUGGUCUGUAACUGACGCUGAGGCUCGAAAGCGUGGGGAGCAAACAGGAUUAGAUACCCUGGUAAUCCACGCCGUAAACGAUGAGUGCUAGGUGUUAGGCCCUUUCCGGGGCUUAGUGCCGCAGCUAACGCAUUAAGCACUCCGCCUGGGGAGUGCGACCGCAAGGUUG